GGGGCUGUAAUGGUUUCGACAGGGGUUUUGAAAAUAGGGAUAGCCAUCCGCAGUAUCGGUCAACUGCGUAUCAAGGCCGUAAAUUUUUAAAAAGAAACGACGAAAAUUAUUCUUUAAUGGCUGCCUAAGCGCAGCCCGUCGGCCCGGAAUUGCUCACAGUUCCGGUAACCGGCGUCGACCUUGUGAGGACCUAUUUCACUUAAGCUUUGCGGUGAAAUAAGAUAAAUGAAGCUACCUGAUUUCCCAGCCUGAUUGUCGGCGGAGAAUGACGGGAAUUUUAAAUGACAAUCUGUGAUGGGAGAAGUCCUUAUCGAUGGAUCUUUGGACAGGAGUUCGAUUCUCCUCAGCUCCAUC
rnacentral:tmRNA from 1 species